rnacentral:rRNA from 1 species
UAGCUGGUUCUCCUCGAAAUAGCUUUAGGGCUAGCGUCGGGUAAUUGAGUAGUGGAGGUAGAGCACUGAAUGGGCUAGGGGCUGACAACAGUUACUGAACCCUAUCAAACUCCGAAUGCCAUAUACUUGUACCCCGGCAGUCAGACUACGAAUGAUAAGAUCCGUGGUCAAAAGGGAAACAGCCCAGACCAUCAGCUAAGGUCCCAAAGUGUAAGUUAAGUGGGAAAGGAUGUGGGAUUUCUAAGACAACUAGGAUGUUGGCUUAGAAGCAGCCACUCAUUUAAAGAGUGCGUAAUAGCUCACUAGUCGAGAGAUCCUGCGCCGAAGAUGUAACGGGGCUCAAACUUACCACCGAAGCUAUGGAUGUGUACUAUGUACACGUGGUAGAGGAGCUUUCUGUACAGGUUGAAGUCAUACCGUAAGGAGUGGUGGACAGUACAGAAGUGAGAAUGCUGGCAUAAGUAGCGAAAAACAAGUGAGAAUCUUGUUGACCGAAUAUCUAAGGUUUCCUGGG